rnacentral:rRNA from 1 species
GACGAACUUUGGCGGCGUGCUUAACACAUGCAAGUCGAACGGUAAGGCUCCAGCUUGCUGGGGUACACGAGUGGCGAACGGGUGAGUAACACGUGGGUGACCUGCCCUGCACUUCGGGAUAAGCCUGGGAAACUGGGUCUAAUACCGGAUAGGACCGCACCGUGAGGGUGUGGUGGAAAGUUUUUUCGGUGUGGGAUGGGCCCGCGGCCUAUCAGCUUGUUGGUGGGGUAAUGGCCUACCAAGGCGGCGACGGGUAGCCGGCCUGAGAGGGUGGACGGCCACAUUGGGACUGAGACACGGCCCAGACUCCUACGGGAGGCAGCAGUGGGGAAUAUUGCGCAAUGGGCGGAAGCCUGAUGCAGCGACGCCGCGUGGGGGAUGACGGCCUUCGGGUUGUAAACUCCUUUCACCAUCGACGAAGGGUUUCUGACGGUAGAUGGAGAAGAAGCACCGGCUAACUACGUGCCAGCAGCCGCGGUAAUACGUAGGGUGCGAGCGUUGUCCGAAAUUACUGGGCGUAAAGAGCUCGUAGGUGGUUUGUCGCGUCGUCUGUGAAAUUCCGGGGCUUAACUCCGGGCGUGCAGGCGAUACGGGCAUAACUUGAGUACUGUAGGGGAGACUGGAAUUCCUGGUGUAGCGGUGAAAUGCGCAGAUAUCAGGAGGAACACCGGUGGCGAAGGCGGGUCUCUGGGCAGUAACUGACGCUGAGGAGCGAAAGCAUGGGGAGCGAACAGGAUUAGAUACCCUGGUAGUCCAUGCCGUAAACGGUGGGCGCUAGGUGUGGGUUUCCUUCCACGGGAUCCGUGCCGUAGCUAACGCAUUAAGCGCCCCGCCUGGGGAGUACGGCCGCAAGGCUAAAACUCAAAGGAAUUGACGGGGGCCCGCACAAGCGGCGGAGCAUGUGGAUUAAUUCGAUGCAACGCGAAGAACCUUACCUGGGCUUGACAUAUACAGGAUCGCGCCAGAGAUGGUGUUUCCCUUGUGGCUUGUAUACAGGUGGUGCAUGGUUGUCGUCAGCUCGUGUCGUGAGAUGUUGGGUUAAGUCCCGCAACGAGCGCAACCCUUGUCUUAUGUUGCCAGCACGUUGUGGUGGGGACUCGUAAGAAACUGCCGGGGUUAACUCGGAGGAAGGUGGGGAUGACGUCAAAUCAUCAUGCCCCUUAUGUCCAGGGCUUCACACAUGCUACAAUGGUCGGUACAGUGGGUUGCCAGUCCGUGAGGGCGAGCUAAUCCCGCAAAGCCGGUCUCAGUUCGGAUCGGGGUCUGCAACUCGACCCCGUGAAGUCGGAGUCGCUAGUAAUCGCAGAUCAGCAACGCUGCGGUGAAUACGUUCCCGGGCCU